AGAGAUUUCCCCUCUACUUAGGUUAGGGUGUAACCUAACCUGGCUUUUGUAUGUCUUCCUGCUCCUUCUUAGUGACUGAGUUGAUUGAGAAACAGAAAGAGCAUUAGGAUGCCACUGGUUUAAUAAAGCUCCUGUCAAUUUGUUCAGCUAAAAAGGGGGUGUCUGUAGCCACAGGGGCAGCAUUGCCAGGGAACCUGCAGGGAUUCCCUUCCCUCCAUGGGAGAGUCUGUGGCAACAGGGUCUGUCAUUUCCUCAAUUUGCUGGGACAAGCAAGACAGCUUUGAAACUGUAGACUGGGAGAACUUCUCGGAAGGCCUUCUAAAAACUCUGUUGUUCCCAGUUGCAGUUGUUCCCAGAAUUCAGGGAAAGCUUCUUUCUUUCUAAAUUUGGUCAUGAAAGAAUUUGAUUGUCUAACUUGACCCUUUACCUAGUGCUAAAAGAGUGAUUCCCUUUGCAAAGAAGUGCAAACUCCAAACCAGUGAGUGUCUCCUCCUGAGCCCUGCAGCUGCUGCUGUGCUGUUUCACAAUAGAACAGCCAAAGCUCAGAGGAAUUUUGGGGAAGCUUUACUGGGCAACUGUUUACAGCAAGUUAAUGAGAAUUAGUGCAUGCAACUGAUUUUUUUUAAAAAGCACCUGAAGGAGAGGAUUUUAGAAGCUAUUUUAAGUGUUUACUAGAACAGGAAUAUUGAGUGUUAAAGAAGAAUUUGUAUUUUCUUGAUCGUGUUUGUAUUCUUUUGCUGACUAAAAAGGUUGAAGUGUAGGCACAAGCAAGAACAUUAUCCUGAUCUCUUGGUGGCUUUGUGAAUGAAAUGUGUCUCCUGGAGGGAUGUUGUGAAAGGGAAAAUAAGCUCUGUUUGGAUUGACCUCUUGUGUGGGAUUCACCAGGCCAGGAACUUUUCUCACAGCAUCUGAUUCAUUUUCCCUGCCCAGUACAGGUCACAUAAAACAUGUAUUCAGUGGAGCUGCUCCUGAGGUGAGUGAGAAAGGAAGAUUUCAUGUUCCUCCUAUUUAAAAAUUCCGGAGCGAGCUGUCACCUUGACUAGACACAGAAGAGUAUAGAGGGCCAGCAAGGACGGCCAAAAGAAAAUCCAGAGAGAAACGCCCAAAGAAAAUAAUUCCCAUGACUUCAACAACAACAACAACAACAACAACAACAACAAAAAGGAGUGGAUAUUUCCUAAUUUCAAUCUCAGAAAUCUGAAGAAAGAGAACUGAAGAAUUUCCAUAGAUACCCAUAUGACAGUGCUCAGCACAAGGGCUGCUGCCCUGCCAAACCUGCCCUCAGUGCAUCCAAGUGCUUUAGACACUGGAGUGGCUCACUUGCAUCCUGGGGCUUGUAGGUGCUUUUGGUAUGCCAGGAGGAGAAGCCCUCUUCUUUUUGUCUUUCUCCAGCCAGCAAGGGGGCUUCUGCACAACAUCUCCUGCCCUUUUCCAGCACUGGAUGGGAUUCUGCCCAGUUCUGGUUUUCCCUGUCUGCUGCAGCAAUAGCAACAAUGUUGCUGGCUCUUUCCUACUUGUCCAUUUCUGAGCUUGCAAGAAAUGAAAGUUCUGUUUUACAGCUACAAUGUUGCUUGCUGAUAGCAGCCAGGAAGGAAUAUCAAAUUCAUAGCCAUAUAGUGUUGAACUGGCCCAUUUUAAUUAAUUAAUUACUCCCACCCAAAAGUGAUCCACUUCACACCCCAGGGGUUUUUUAUUUCUUGGCAAACCCUUGUCUGGAGAGAGCACAUCCCCUGCAGCAGCAGUCAUCCUGGCUGGUGUGCAGGGGACAGUCUACAACAGCAGGUGCUGUUGCUCUUUCAAAAGCUGACAUGCCUUUCCUUAGAAAGGUCCUGCUCUGCAAGUGUUGCAGCAGCAAGCUCUUCCUCUCAGUGGCACUGUCUUCUGCCAUUACUCCCCAUUCCCCUGGGGAAAGGGAAUCUUUUAGAGUGGUUUCCUUUCUUUUGUGAUGAAAUCACAUCACUUAGUUUUGCUCUCCUGUUUCUGUUUUCUCUCUCAGUGCCUGAGAGGACUGGAUUUUCUUCACUCAAACCACAUGAUCCACCGAGGUCUGAAGAGCUGCAACAUCCUUCUCGGAACCAAUGGCUCUGUCAAGCUGGGUGACUUUGGCCUCUUUGCUCAGCUCACUCCUGAGCAGAGUAGACAAAGCUCCGUGGCCAGCACUUCUGGGUGGAUGGCGCCUGAAGUGGUGACAGGUCAACCAUAUGGCCCCAAAGUGGACAUAUGGUCUUUUGGAAUCGUGGGCAUUGAAAUGGUGGAACGAGAAGCUCCUUACUGGAAAGAAACUUCUGGCAUGGUAAGGAGCAAAUACUGACUGAUCCCUCUGUCUUUCUCACCUGUCCCGUGUCCUGUGUGCCACUGGACAAAAUCCCAUUGCCAUCUCCUGGCACCACUUCCACCAAGAUCACCUCCUAAAAAUGUCCCUGCAGCACAUCAGCAGCUGCUGUAGCUUUGGUUGCAUCAGAAGGGAAGUGGCAGUUCAGAAACCUAAGCAGUUCAGACACCUAACCAGUUCAGGAACCUGCCAUUUAGGCCUCCAGCCAUGCCUGGCAUUUCUCAUUUGCUUUUUGAACAGUGUUGGAGCUCUGUCUCUGAAGGACAAAAAAUUUUCAGUGGAAUGGUUGGAUGUGUGAUAAAUAUCCUUCAAAAUGGAGGUUCAAUCAUCCUAGUUUCAAUUGUACAGGAAAAGAAAACUGGAAAUUGAAAAGGAAGAGAAAAUAGAUAAGAAAAAAAGGAAAAAGAAGAGAAAAAAUAAAA